UCAGGAUGCACUGCAUUCAGAUCCAACAAACCAAUUCUCACUCUGAUUAUUGUUGUCAUAUUCCACAUUAGAUCAGUUCAGUUUCAGCUGCAGCUUUGCAGCCAGAUUUAAAUAGAAAAGUGGAAAACGCAUACAAUAAUAAUAUGUCAUCAAAAUACCUGGUUCUGUGGGAAUGAGGCCCCCUUUGUUUUUGUAGCAGUUCAGACCUUCACAUUGAUGAUCUAAUUGGCUGUGAGUUCUCUCUGCUUUAAGGUGCGGCUGCAGCUCGGUCCUGAACCUGCUCCCACCUGCAUUUUCUAUAACAGGAAACGUACGUCAGCAACGCCGCCGUCCCCCUAUCAGUUGAUCAGCUGCUGCAAGUUGACGCAACGGACUCAGAUCCAACCCCAAGAUAUCUGUCAACAUCUGCUUCAACGCCAUCUUUGUGUUGUUGCACACUUUAAACCAAAUGUAGCAAUAAACGUGGUUUUUACAAAUUCUGUUUCAUGAGGACUGAUCUGAGGUCUGAGCUACAAAUUCUACAGUAAAUGUGUUAAAAGAGACCCAACUUAUUAGCCUCAUGUCACAGUAAAGAUCGUGUGACUGAGCCAACAUUUACACUGGUAUUUCAGAUAUAUAUAGAACGUGUUUAGUGUCAUUCUGUUUGCUGCACAUUCCUGUCACCUCCGUUUCGGAACCACACCUGUUCACUGUUGUUCUGUGUUUGCGUUCUGAACCUCCUCGUCCCAUGAUUCGCCCAGUCACUCUCACUGUCAUUACAAAUAUCAAGCAUGUAUUACUUCAGGAAAACACAUGACUUUUCAUUGAAAUCAUCAGCAUUAGAAAGUGGAACAACUAAGUCAUGUGGCUGAAGUUGCACCGAGCGACUGACUGAGCAGCAUUUUUCAGACAGUCAGUGCUUUGAUGACAAAGCAACUCAUGUGACUCCAAACCACCAGUGUAGCAAAUAUGACAUGUGCUGAUGGGAAAUGUGGACCAACUUGAGAACAUUCCACCGAGAAACUGCAGCGACAGAGAGGAACUUGGGUCACAAGUGAACCUGAGCAACGUGGACGUGACCAACAUUUUUUUUUCUUUCUUUUGUUGGAAACUCAGUCCAUGGAUUGGAAAUCAAUGAUUCUAGUGCCUUAUAAACAUACUGGUAGAGUUCCAAUCUUUGGGGACACAGUAAACCUGAGCUGGGCCCAGCGGUGGCUGCAACAGCUGGAUGAAAGACUCAUUAAAUAAAUUCAACUGAUUGAUUUACCUUUA